AUAAAGGUGAAAUGUGAGGAAGAAAAUGGUGCUUUUUAAAACAACCCCAUGCUGCGUUGUCUGACAAUAAUGACAGAGAAAGAGUGCUGACUAUGGCUCAGAUGCUGUAUUGAUUUAUAUACCUGGAUUACAUCAACCGUUUAAUCCUCACUUCAACACUCUGAGGUUUCAGCUUUCUGAGUCUCCCAGCUUAUUAAUGAACAUGAUUUCAUUAACUCCUGGCUGGCAGACCCCCAAACUGAGGCCAUGACUGGAGCCCAUUUGGGCCAGUCUCAUGGAACCACUUGCCGAACACCCAAAAGGUAAAAUAUCUGUUUAUCUUGGAAUGGAAGUUCUCACUCUUACAAGGUGUGCUGCUGGCAAUGCAGAAGGGCUGUCUUCCCCACGAUGAACUGGACGCUCUACUCCUCACCACCCAGAAACCUGAGAUGAAGGCGGGACUUAGCUCCCUGCUCUGGGCUUGUGGAUUUUCCCUUCCCCCAUGCUCCUCUGCCUUCCCUGGUGCCUAUCAGGGACAGGGAGCGAUUGAAAUUAUUGAUUCAAUCCGUUUAUCCUCCUACCCCGGUGCAUCUCGGCUGGACCACUGAUUCUAGGGCCGAGCCUCGGCACAGUCCGCUGGCUUCCUCCACUUGGUGCCGAGGGCAACUGGAGCUGCAGAAACUCCUGGGGAGUCAUCAACGAAGACCAAGGACUGGGCUGGCAAUGGACUCCGGUUCCCAAGCCAGCUGCAGCUACUGGAUCCAGGGAAAUUGUGACGCGGCCGGCUGUUCCGAAGGCCGGGCCCGUCAGCUUGAUCCACUGCAAAAGAGGCAGACUUGACUCUCAACCUCCAAGUCCAAAGUUCCUCCAAACCUGCAUCCUGAGCUCUUACAAGGAAUCUCUGUGGGAAUACUCCCUCCCAUAGUAUGGAAUAAGUCAUAGCCACAAGAAUGAAGACAUUGCUGUUCCUUGAGUGACAAUAAAAGCAUCAUCUUGGGGGCAAUUGUGACUGGACUUAUCGUAAAUGCCUUCCUCUUCUACUAGAUUCCUGAAGUUCUCCUGCCCGCCUGCAUUUAUUUCCCAAGAAUUCUGUGCAGCUGAAGUAAUGUGCAUGAAUAUUGCGUAACAUUCUGUGGACGGAUACCAUAUCGUAGAAAUAAUUUAAUUGACGACCUGUAAUGAAAAGAGCGCUGGAACAUUCUUGUGCUACUAAAAGUGAGAGUGAAGCGUGCAUUCAAAUCAUCACCAUCGCCAUAACCAUCACUCAAAUCUGCAAACCCAAGUCUGUGACAGAGGACCCUAACUUCAUCCAUACACCAACAGCAGCCCUCAAAUAUGAAGCAACAAGGCUUAGGUGCCCUUUAUAUUAUCAAUGUUAUAAUAGAAUAUUGCACAUAGUACCCUGCUAGCAUUUUUGGUACUUUAAUGCUAUGAUUGGGGUCCUUUCUUCCUUCCUUCCUCCCUUCCUUCCUUCCCUCCUUGCUU